UACAGAGGGUGCGAGCGUUGUUCGGAAUUAUUGGGCGUAAAGGGCGCGUAGGCGGCGCCACAAGUCACUUGUGAAAACUCUGGGCUCAACUCAGAGCCUGCAAGCGAAACUGUGGUGCUGGAGUAUGGGAGAGGUGCGUGGAAUUCCCGGUGUAGCGGUGAAAUGCGUAGAGAUGUGGAGGAACACCAGUGGCGAAGGCGACUCUCUGGUCUGUAACUGACGCUGAGGAGCGAAAGCGUGGGGAGCGAACAGG
rnacentral:rRNA from 1 species